UACGACUAUAUCACGUGGAAACACCGGUUCCCUUGCGAUCACCGAAGUUAAGAAACAUUGAGCCUGGUCAAUAUCUACGUAAGUGACCGCUUGAGAAUAUAAGGUGCUA